rnacentral:rRNA from 1 species
UACAGAGGUCCCAAGCGUUGUUCGGAUUCACUGGGCGUAAAGAGUGCGUAGGUGGCGAGGUAAGUCGGAUGUGAAAGCUCGGAGCUCAACUCCGAAAUGGCAUUGGAAACUACCUUGCUCGAGGGUUGGAGGGGGGACUGGAAUGCUUGGUGUAGCAGUGAAAUGCGUAGAUAUCAAGCGGAACACCAGUGGCGAAGGCGAGUCCCUGGACAACUCCUGACACUGAGGCACGAAGGUCAGGGGAGCAAACGGG